ensembl:lncRNA
GUGGAUUCUUCACCACUGAGCCACCUGAGAAGCCCAGGUAAGAAAAUGAUGGUGUUAUAAUUUAGAGAUUCAACGAUGGAUCAGCUUUCUCCAUCUGCCAGCUGGUAUUGGGGUCAGGGUGUAUUAAAUAGGAAGAUUAAAUGUUUUCGUAUUGGGGGUGAUACCCAAAAAACUUCCUGUUUGCACCCUAAUGGGCUACCCCCAAAUAAGAGGGUUGCAGAAAGUGAGAAUACCUGACAGUUUCCAAAGGGGGAUGACAAGAUCUUGGACACUACUCUCAAAGGCACAUUGUCCGAAAAGAAGAAUUAUGGGGCCUAAAGGCAUGGGGAGAAGCUCUGCUCUUCUACUCAUGGUUAUGACAGUGACCCAAACCAGCAAGAGAUAGUUAUAGAAGAUGGACCUUCACCCCUAAUUGCCCCUCAAGAAGGAAGAAUAAGACACAGGGCCAAGGAAGGAUUAAAACUCAUUAUCAGGUCCUGGGAAAUAGAAUCUGAUAAUAAAAUCGAAUCGUUUUUUCCUUUGUGCUUAGUUUCACUUGAUCGAAGGGUACUGCGUGCAGCGGCCUUCUACCCAGCAAUUCAGAUGAGAGUUCCUAGUGUGAAGCGGCUGCACCUGAUACUUGAGCUUGGCGUAGGUCUUGCAGAAGCUCUGCGCAUGACACCAGGGAUCGGCAGACCAAUGCGCGCCCAGCACGGUGAUCUGAGGCUUGAGCAGUGACACAGACGCUCACGCACACGCACACGCACACGCACACGCGCACACCCUCAGACGCACAAGAGCUCCGCCCCUUUCCGCUGACAGAAACAUAAAACCUUGCGUUUGGCUAUUACCUGUGUUCUUUCCUGAGGAGCCUGGGGUCUCGCACCUCUCCAUUCUUUGAUGAAGAACGAAACUUUCCUUCACUUCCGAACCGAACUCGGCCUGGUACUAUGGGCGACUGUGAGAAGUGGGGACCCCUACACCCUGUUUCUUCCUUCAGGAGUCUACAAAUUCUAACCACAUCCUCACUGAAGAUACAACUGGGAAAGAGCUGCUCUGUCUAGAAACCUAUCUUCGUUCAUUUGUUGGUACUGCUUCAUGCAGGUGGCAUAAGAUCUGAAGUGGUUCUCUGCUGCUGCUGCUGCUAAGUCGCUUCAGUCGUGUCUGACUCUGUGCGACCCCAUAGACGGCAGCCCACCAGGCUCCCCCGUCCCUGGGAUUCUCCAGGCAAGAACACUGGAGUGGGUUGCUAAUUCCUCUAGUAGGCACUAUAUAUAUAGGUCUUGUUUUUGAAUCCAUUCAGACACUCUGUCUUUUGAUUGGCACAUUUAGGCCAUUUAUAUCCAUAUCUAUGGUAGUUAACUGAUAUUUAUUCUUAUUGCCAUUUUGUUAAUUGUUUUGGGUUUGUUUUUUCAUAGGUAUCUUUUGUUCCUUUCUUUGGUUCUCUUGUGAUUUCAUUGUCUUUGGACUCCUUUUUCUUUCCUUUUUCAAAAAUUGUAUUUAAAUGUAGGAU